rnacentral:rRNA from 1 species
GAUGAACGCUGGCGGCGUGCCUAAUACAUGCAAGUCGAACGGAAAGGCCCUGCUUUUGUGGGGUGCUCGAGUGGCGAACGGGUGAGUAACACGUGAGUAACCUGCCCCUGACUUUGGGAGAACUUCAGGAAACUGGGGCUAAUACAGGAUAGGAGCUCCUGCUGCACGUUGGGCGUUGGAAAGUUUCGGCGGUUGGGGAUGGACUCGCGGCUUAUGAGCUUGUUGGUGGGGUAGUUGCUGACCAAGGCUUUGACGGGUAGGCGGCCUGAGAGGGUGACCAGCCACAUUGGGACUGAGGUACGGCCCAGACUCCUACGGGAGGCAGCAGUGGGGAAUAUUGCACAGUGGGCGGAAGCCUGAUACAGCAACGCCGCGUGCGGGAUGACGGCCUUCGGGUUGUAAACCGCUUUCGCCUGUGACGAAGCGUGAGUGACGGUAAUGGGUAAAGAAGCACCGGCUAACUACGUG